GUUGAUAGGCUUCGUAGCCAUGGUCAGAGUUAUAAUUGUUAUAAGACUGCGGAGGUGGAGGUUUCCGGUCAUCAGAUGGUGGACCAUGGUUGGGCGGUGGUGGAGGUCCAUAGUAUGGUGGAGGCGGAGGCCCAUCGUGCGAUCGAGGCGGUGGCGGUGGACCAUGGUGAGGUGGAGGCGGAGGAGGUCUAUGGUGAGGUGGACCGAACUCAUCAGGAUGUCGGGGUUGGCUUUCAUCGUGUGGAGGCGGCGGUGGAGGAGGAGGUCCAUGGUGUGGCGGAGGUGGAGGACCAUGAUGAGGUGGAGGCGGAGG